GCGCGAAAACUUUACACUACACGAAAGUGUGAUAAGGGGAUUCCAAGUGCGUACACACAUGUGUACGCUUUUUAGGAGGGCAAAGUCCUCGUAGAAUAAGUGGUGGGUAAGACCGGUGCCAGCAGCCGCGGUAAUCCCGGCGCCACAAGUGGGGACCAGGGUUAUUGGGCCUAAAGCGUUCGUAGCAGGCCGUGUAAAUCUCUUGUGAAAUCGUUGGGCUUAACCUAACGGCGUGCAGGAGAGACUGCUCGGCUAGAGACCGGGAGGGGUAGAGAGUAUUCCUUGGGGAGCGGUAAAAUGCUAUAAUCCUUGGAAGACUACCUGUGGCGAAGGCGCUCUACCAGAACGGGUCUGACUGUGAGGGACGAAAGCCAGGGGAGCAAUCCGGAUUAGAUACCCGAGUAGUCCUGGCUGUAAACUCUGCGAGCAAGGUGUUGCAUAUUCUAACAUGAAUAUGCAGUGUCGAAGAGAAGUCGUUAAGCUCGCCGCCUGGGAAGUACGGUCGCAAGACUGAAACUUAAAGGAAGUU
rnacentral:rRNA from 1 species